rnacentral:rRNA from 1 species
AACGAACGCUGGCGGCGUGCUUAACACAUGCAAGUCGAACGCGAAAGGGGACUUCGGUCCCCCGGUAGAGUGGCGCACGGGUGAGUAACGCGUAGAUAACCUACCCCUAUAUUUGGGAUAACAGCUCGAAAGGGCUGCUAAUACCGAAUACACUUAAUGUAACGCGAGUUAGAUUGAGGAAAGGUGACCUCUUCAUGAAAGUUACUGUAUAGGGAUGAGUCUGCGUACCAUUAGCUAGUAGGUAGGGUAACGGCCUACCUAGGCGACGAUGGUUAGCGGGUCUGAGAGGAUGAUCCGCCACACUGGAACUGAAACACGGACCAGACUCCUACGGGAGGCAGCAGUGAGGAAUAUUGCGCAAUGGGCGAAAGCCUGAUCCAGCAAUGCCGCGUGGGUGAAGAAGGCCUUCGGGUUGUAAAGCCCUUUCGGAUAGAAAGAAAACUCUUACUCUAACAUAGUGAGAGAAUGACGGUACUGUCAGAAGAAGCACCGGCUAACUACGUGCCAGCAGCCGCCGUAAUAC